UACGUAGGGUGCGAGCGUUAAUCGGAAUUACUGGGCGUAAAGCGUGCGCAGGCGGCGCGUUAAGACAGGUGUGAAAGCCCCGAGCUUAACUUGGGAAUUGCGCUUGUGACUGGCGAGCUGGAGUGUGGCAGAGGGAGGUGGAAUUCCACGUGUAGCAGUGAAAUGCGUAGAGAUGUGGAGGAACACCGGUGGCGAAGGCGGCUUCCUGGACCGAUUACUGACGCUGAGGCGCGAAAGCUAGGGGAGCAAACGGG
rnacentral:rRNA from 1 species